UAGGGAAUCUUCCGCAAUGGACGCAAGUCUGACGGAGCAACGCCGCGUGAGUGAAGAAGGAUUUCGGUUCGUAAAACUCUGUUGUUAGAGAAGAACAGCGCAUAGAGUAACUGUUAUGCGUGUGACGGUAUCUAACCAGAAAGCCCCGGCUAAUUACGUGCCAGCAGCCGCGGUAAUACGUAAGGGGCGAGCGUUGUCCGGAAUUAUUGGGCGUAAAGAGUGCGUAGGCGGCAAAUUAAGUCAGAUGUGAAAACUAAGGGCUCAACCCAUAGAUUGCAUCUGAAACUGAUAUGCUUGAGUCAAGGAGAGGAAAGUGGAAUUCCUAGUGUAACGGUGGAAUGCGUAGAUAUUAGGAGGAAUACCGGUGGCGAAGGCGACUUUCUGGACUUGAACUGACGCUGAGGCACGAAAGCGUGGGGAGCAAACAGG
rnacentral:rRNA from 1 species